rnacentral:lncRNA from 1 species
GCCUGCGGGUUGCCUGGUUACGGCCACCUGCGGCUGGGGGUUCCAGUCCCGCCCGGGAAGUUAGUCUCCGUAAACGCGUAGCUCCGGGGAAGCAGUGCUCGUUUACUCCGCACAGGACCCUAGAAGGGUCCGACGCCGUCGCCGCCGCCGGCCCCUUGGCCGCAGGACCCCAGCCCCCAGGCCCCCGCCGAAGCCCCGCUGCCCGCUCAGGCUCCCGCUUCGGGGGUCGUCCAGUCGCCCGCGGCCCGCACGUGCCCCCGCCUGGCUGGGCCCUUACCUUCGGGAACGCGCGCCCUCCGGCCCUUACCUCCCCUCCAGCCCCGACACCACUCCGCGCGCUAGCCACGCAGUCUCCCACCCCGCUUUUGUCUGCCCUAAGCCCCCUCGGGGCCCCUGACUCUUGUGCCAGUGGGCAGCGGUUCCCUCUGUGCACAGAGACGCCCCGUGGACGGAAGCCAGGGACUUUAUGUGGUUUUCCCCAACCGUUGUUGAAUGGAUAUUAGUGCUGAAAACGAGGGCGAACCCCCGAGGUGCCGAGCGAUAAGCUAGGCUGCUGGGCCUCAGCCUCCUGUUUGUUCCCCGUUUCUGGCGGCCACCCAGAGGCACCAUCUGAGCGCUCCCCAAGAGGACCUUAGGGAAGGGGGGUGCUGCUUGUUUGCACCCUCAUUCUCCUAGUGGGCAAAGGUAAGUGAACCAGCCUGACCCGGCCCACUCACCUGCCACCUGCCUGGCAAGGACAAGGAAGAGCCCCGUGCCCCUGCUCCUCCUGGAGGGCAGGAAGGGGGCUCAGGGUGCCUGUCCAGUUGCUCAUGGCCCCGCCGCUGUGCUCCCAGCAGCCACUGCUGCUGGGCUUUGGCCUGGCGGAGGUGGGAGGGCACCGUGGUCACAGGUGGGACCUAGCAGCUCUGGAAGAAGGAAGCAGUGCGCUUCUGGUGUUUGUUUGCUGUGACGCUGGCAAGGGAGCAGCCACGCUGUCAGAGCCCCAGGCGGGCGGGGGGAGUCUCAGCCUAUCUGACGUGGCCACUCUAAGCUAACAUUUGCCUUGCAGAAAUCGAAUUCCCCGCCUGUUUGAACACAGUGUUCGUAAGCGCUGUAGAAUGCAGCCUGGGCCCCGCCGCCUGGGCCCCUUCUUCUUGGUGCUCCCUGUGUUUUGCAGUGACUUUGUCCCAACAGAUCGCUCUGCAGAGAGAGACACUGCAAGAGCAACCCUUAACCCUUAACCCCCCACCCGACCCACCCACCCCCACCCUCUCCACCACCAAGGCCCCCUCCCGCCAGGGGAGGGCGCUGGCGCUCCCAGGCUCAGGGCUGGCACCUCCACUUGGAGUUGAGGGCAAGAGCUCCAGCCCACUUUCCCCUCUGGUGAACCCAGAAGCCCUUUGCUCAGCCCUGGUGGGCUCUAACCUGAAGACCCCUGAAAGCAGCUUGCCCCAGGCAAGGUCGAGACCUCUGGACCCCUAGCGCGGCAUUGAAGAGGCAGCCUGGUGGCAACUCCCACGAGGGGACUCUAAGAAAAGCCGAUGGGCAAAGACCAGCAAGGGCCUUGGGGCAUCCCCGCACUCUGCUCCUGCUAAGGCUCUGCGUGGAGACCCCCCUCAGAUUCUCAGCCCUCGGUAGCCUCAUGUUCAGGACGGAUCCUGGGUCCACGGCCAAGCCGUCAAGGCCUCUGGGCCAUGGAGGCAGGGCUCUGAGUCACAGAGCGGCUGCUUUAAGACCCAGCCUGCUCCCCAGAUGCUCUCUGCCCUCUGUCACCUUCCUUGGCCUCGUCAGCUUGCUGUUUCAGCAGGCUGAGUACCUGGACAACUGGGGGCGGAGAGAGCUCGUGGGUGCUGCCUGUGCUGGGACCGUGAGGGACACGGGGACGCGGGGGCUGUGCCUCGGGGGUGCACGGCCAUGCCAGCCAUCCUCGUGCGUGCUUAGGCCCCUGCCCUUUGCCUGCCAUGUCCGCUCCUCUCUCUGCCUUCUCCCUGUCCAUCUCCUGGCUCACACUUGGAGGCUGGAUACACGUCACCACCUCCUUGCCACCCGCUAGGUGGGCUCAAAUCAGCAGCUCUUUCCCAGGGCAGAGUCGUAGUUCCUCCAGCAAAGCCGUGGUCACAUCACCUGGAGCACACAGGACACAGCUGCACACUUGCUGGGUCAGUGGGCAGAGACCGAGCUGGAGAACCUGGCUGGCCUUUCAUCAUGAUGGCCGUUGUCACCUUGUGUCCAGUGUGGUGGCAGUCAGCCUCCCUGCUGGCCAGUGCCUUCCGGGGGCGGGGGUGCUGCCACGGAGCACGUGCCAGGCAGCUGGUCCACACCGAGGGCAGAGUACUCGCCGCAGAGCCAAGGAUGGCAACUGUGCCACCGGUAGGCUGCUGUUACCUGUUGAAAUGAUGCUAUUGGGGAUAUACUGGAUUAAAUAAAUGCUUUAGUAAAGCCUCCUUCAUCUGCUUCCUUUUUAAAAUGUAGCCGCUAGGGAGUUUAAAAUUCCCUACGUGGCGGGUGUGAUGCUUCCCCUGGACAGUGCUGGACCAGACGGUGGGCGCCCUGCUGGGAGGCAGGCAGGGACCCACUCGGCGUCUCCAGCCUCCUAGAUGGUGGAGCUGGCUCUCUUCUGGUGACCGGCCAGCCAGGCAGUUCUCCAAGGAGCCCUGGGGUUGGGUAGCUAUCUCAGAGUGGGCAAAGGCCGGGUGACCUUUGGGCGUGAGCCCGCGCCCCCGGCCUCAGGCCGAAGUGUGCUUUGUGGACGUUUGUGGGGCAGGUCUGCUCCGUGCCAAGUGUCCUGCUCAGCCCCCCCACACACACCCUCAGUCCUAGGAGCUGAGGCUGGGGCCACGCGAGGGGCCUGUCCCUCUCGGCCUGUGAGACAGGGCUGGCUGAGAGUCCAGGCAAAAAGCGAGUUAGAGGCUCAUCGGGGAAGGAGCUGGCGGAGGGCUCCUGGAGGGAGCGGUGGGGCCAAAGGGGGCUGGGUGGUCGGGGAGCAAGGGCUGGGGUCCGUUCCUUGGGGAGGAAGCAGUCCCAGAGGUGCAGAGAGCUGUGUGUUAGCAUUUGUACUGUGGCACCUUGCAUCGGCCCCUGCGUCGGGGCACCUGUCCGUGGGCAUCCAGGGUGCUUGCCAGUGUGUGGCCAGGCCCGAGGGGAGGGAAGGGAGGUGCCUCCGUGAGGGUGCAGGCCAGGGGUGUAAGGCCGCCACCAUCAGAGCCAUUCCAGCCCCCUGGAGAGCCUUGCAGGAGGAAGUCCGUAUCCAGACCCAGCUCCGACCCGGACAGGCUUAAUAACUGUCACCUCCGUCAGCGUUCCUGUUCGCCUGAGCACGGCUCUGUCUCAUCUCUGGCAUCUGGAGACAUAGCUGGCAUCUAGCAGAUCUUAGAGAACUUUCUUUUUUUAAUCAUUGAACAAAGAACUAAGCAUCCAAGGUGAUAAGCAAUGGAGCUGAAGUAGGGAGCCCAGCAAGACCUGCCCUGCGACCCCGCAGCUGCCGCGGCCCUGGAGAAGCCUCGGGGCCCUCCUUCCCCAAAUUGGACAUGGACGUUUGCCGAGGAGCCCCCACUGCACACCAGGCACCAGGAGGAGCUGGGACCAUGGCCGUGGGACAGGCUCAGCUUCUGCCCCUGGGAGCAUGGACACCCCACAGCUGUGCGGGUGGGGGCACCAUAAGGGCGCCUCACCAGGCCUGGAUCCCACCUGGGAGGUCGGGGGGGAUAGAGGCAGAGAUGGAAAGGCGGAGCAUUUGCGGCUGAAGCAAAGAGGCUUCUGCAGCGGCAAAGGCCAGAACCCUCCGGAUAGUGGGCCUGCGUGGGAGCCGGUGGGCGUGUGUCACCGGGCUCCACGGGCCCCGCCAGGGGGUUUGCGCUUGACCUCGAAGAGCAAGGGACGCUUUCAGGGGCUCUUCUGCCAGGAACAACAUCACCAGUUUCACCUCCCAGAGGCUGUUGGGCAGCGGGCGAGCCAGAGCCAGGAGCCCAGGAGGUGGCCCCGGGUCCCCUGGGAGAGUGGCGAGGCUGCUGGGGCCAGACCGGUGGGGAGAGCUGAACCCAUACGACCCUGUGGGGGCAGGACCUGGCUCUCCUGCUGCCAGGGCCGUCUGCACUCCCGCACAGCACAGAUGCUCUGCUCGCCUCAGCCAUGGGGGCCAGCAGGACAGGAGGGCCCGAGUCCUAAGCAUCGGUGGUGACUUGGGUUAUGGUGUGGACGUGGAGGCCUGGCGGACCGAGGCCUGGGAUUGGGAAGGGCUGGGGUGGAGCCUGGAAGAACUCCGACACGUGCAGCUUGCCAGGUGCCAGCCUGGCUGCGUGUUGACACCUGGCAAAGUGACCUUGGCAAGUGCCUCCCUCAGCAUCGGUUCCCCCGUCUGGAAAGUGACAGGGCUGAGCACUGGAGGCCCCACAGGCCCUCCCAGGCCUCUAGGGGAGAUGGCCCCUCGAGUGGUUGUGAGAACACUGGCUGGGGAGUCACGUGGCUCUGGCUCAAGUGGGUGAACUUAAGAAGCCAUCUGCUCCUUUGCGCCUCACCUUCCUCAUCUGUGAAAUGGGAUGAUGGCCCUGCUGCAGGCUGAGCGUUAGGUGGGGUGCAGACGUGAACUGUGAACAGUGGAACCUCACCUGGCCCCACCUGGCCCGCUGCAAGUCCCAUGGGGAACACCUGUUUGCCUAAGGGGACGCUUACGGGGUGCUGCCAGCAGGGGGGAGCAGAGAGCCGCCUCCAAGCCUUGGCCCCGCAGGUGGCUCCUCCCAGGCCCGCUGGCGUCUGGAAGCGCCCAGCCUCCGUCAGAACCUGGCACCAGCACAGCCAGAGAAAAGCGUUCGGCUCCCUGCAUCCCCUGAGACUGCAGCCUGCCCACCCGAGGGUGGUGGGGUCGGUGCAACACGGCAGGUGCUCCACGAAUUCCCCCAGAGUGGCGCUUAGUGGGCAACCGUGGUUUUCAAGCUCUGUGCUCGGGGAUCUCAUGGAGGCUGGCGAGUGUGGCUGUUGAAUAAAGAGGGACUGCAUUCGGCACCAUCCUGCACCCACUGGCCACUGGCCACUGGGGAGGGCCUUCGCCCGGCGUGGCCACGGAGAACGUCGCUUCAGGGCUCACUGCACCCACAAGAUCUCAGAGGUGUGCCUGUGUAGAGAUUUGUCGUAAAUACCAUGAAUCUGUACGAAACCACAGACUCGUAGUAAGUGUAGAUAACGCAUCAUGUGCUGCGUCGUUCAGGAAUGGACCCCACGUCUAAGGUUGUGUGAAAAAGGUAAAAAAAUCCAACC